rnacentral:rRNA from 1 species
GUGCUAACGUCCGUCGUGAAGAGGGAAACAACCCAGACCGCCGGCUAAGGUCCCAAAGUUCUGGUUAAGUGGGAAACGAUGUGGGAAGGCUCAGACAGCUAGGAUGUUGGCUUAGAAGCAGCCAUCAUUUAAAGAAAGCGUAAUAGCUCACUAGUCGAGUCGGCCUGCGCGGAAGAUGUAACGGGGCUCAAACCAGGCACCGAAGCCGCGGAUUCACGCUAAGCGUGAGUGGUAGGGGAGCGU